rnacentral:rRNA from 1 species
GAUGAACGCUAGCGGCAGGCCUAAUACAUGCAAGUCGGACGGGAUUUGGGAGCUUGCUCCUAAUGAGAGUGGCGCACGGGUGCGUAACACGUAUGUAACCUACCUUAAUCAGGGGGAUAGCCUCUCGAAAGAGAGAUUAACACCGCAUAACAUAUUUUUAUGGCAUCGUAGAAAUAUCAAAUAUUUAUAGGAUUAAGAUGGGCAUGCGGAACAUUAGCUAGUUGGUAAGGUAACGGCUUACCAAGGCUACGAUGUUUAGGGGGUCUGAGAGGAUGACUCCCCACACGGGUACUGAGACACGGACCAGACUCCUACGGGAGGCAGCAGUAAGGAAUAUUGGUCAAUGGGCGCAAGCCUGAACCAGCCAUGCCGCGUGCAGGAAGACGGCCCUAUGGGUUGUAAACUGCUUUUGUACCGGAAUAAACCCUUUUACGCGUAGAAGGCUGAAUGUACGGUAAGAAUAAGGAUCGGCUAACUCCGUGCCAGCAGCCGCCGUAA